rnacentral:rRNA from 1 species
GAGUUUGAUCCUGGCUCAGAUUGAACGUUGGCGGCAGGCCUUAAACAUGCAAGUCGAACGGUAACAGCGGAGCUUGCUCCGGCUGACGAGUGGCGGACGGGUGAGUAACGCGUAGGAAUCUACCCAGUAGCGGGGGAUAGCCCGGGGAAACCCGGAUUAAUACCGCAUACGCCCUACGGGGGAAAGGGGGCCUCUUCUUGAAAGCUCUCACUAUUGGAGGAGCCUGCGUUGGAUUAGCUGGUUGGUGGGGUAAAAGCCUACCAAGGCGACGAUCCAUAGCUGGUCUGAGAGGACGAUCAGCCACACUGGAACUGAGACACGGUCCAGACUCCUACGGGAGGCAGCAGUUAGGAAUAUUGUGCAAUGGGGGAAACCCUGACACAGCCAUGCCGCGUGUGUGAAGAAGGCCCUAGGGUUGUAAAGCACUUUCAGUAGGGAGGAAUUAGCAAGGUUAAUACCCUUGUGAAAUGACGUUACCUACAGAAGAAGAUCCGGCUAACUCCGUGCCAGCAGCCGCGGUAAUACGGAGGGUCCAAGCGUUAUCCGGAAUUAUUGGGUUUACAGGGUCCGUAAGUGGAUAAUUAAGUCAGGGGUGAAAGUUUGCAGCUCAACUGUAAAAUUGCCUUUGAUACU